rnacentral:rRNA from 1 species
UACGAAGGAUCCUAGCGUUGUCCGGAUUUACUGGGCUUAAAGGGUGCGUAGGCGGACUUUUAAGUCAGUGGUGAAAGCCUGCAGCUUAACUGUAGAAUUGCCAUUGAAACUGAUUGUCUCGAGUGCGGUUGAGGUCACUGGAAUGUAUCAUGUAGCGGUGAAAUGCUUAGAGAUCGGGAAGAACAUCGGUGGCGAAAGCGCUCUACUGGACGGUAUCUGACACUGAGGGACGAAAGCUAGGGGAGCGAAUGGG